GGGCUCAGCCGGGACUUGAACCCGGGACCUCUCGCACCCGAAGCGAGAAUCAUACCCCUAGACCACUGAGCC
rnacentral:tRNA from 13 species